rnacentral:rRNA from 1 species
GACGAACGCUGGCGGCGUGCCUAAUACAUGCAAGUAGAACGCACAGUUUAUACCGUAGCUUGCUACACCAUAGACUGUGAGUUGCGAACGGGUGAGUAACGCGUAGGUAACCUGCCUGGUAGCGGGGGAUAACUAUUGGAAACGAUAGCUAAUACCGCAUAAUAUUGAUUAUUGCAUGAUAAUUGAUUGAAAGAUGCUAUUGCAUCACUACCAGAUGGACCUGCGUUGUAUUAGCUAGUAGGUGAGGUAACGGCUCACCUAGGCGACGAUACAUAGCCGACCUGGGAGGGUGAUCGGCCACACUGGGACUGAGACACGGCCCAGACUCCUACGGGAGGCAGCAGUAGGGAAUCUUCGGCAAUGGACGAAAGUCUGACCGAGCAACGCCGCGUGAGUGAAGAAGGUUUUCGGAUCGUAAAGCUCUGUUGUAAGAGAAGAACGGGUGUGAGAGUGGAAAGUUCACACUGUGACGGUAUCUUAACAGAAAGGGACGGCUAACUACGUG